AAGUCGUAACAAGGUUUCCGUAGGUGAACCUGCGGAAGGAUCAUUACUGAUUGCGAAUCGUUGCCUUCUGUGCUGGCCAGUUUCUGGCAAGUGCACGUCGGUGACUUUCAUCCAAUACCCUGUGAACCUUUGGCCUCUUGCUAGCUUCGGCCGGCAGAGGAAUUUUACACAAACUCGAAUGUAAUGAAAUCUAUUGUCGUGCGCAAGCACUAAUGUACAACUUUCAACAACGGAUCUCUUGGCUCUCGCAUCGAUGAAGAACGCAGCGAAAUGCGAUAAGUAAUGUGAAUUGCAGAAUUCAGUGAAUCAUCGAAUCUUUGAACGCACCUUGCACCCUUUGGCAUUCCGAAGGGUAUGCUCGUUUGAGUGUCAUUGUACUCUCACACUCCCGAUCUUUGGAUUGAGAGCGGUGGACUUGGGUGUUGCUGCUUACCGUGGCUCACCUCAAAUGGAGUAGUGCAACUCCUGGUUGGACAUAGUACGGCGUGAUAAGUGUCUUCGCCGGCGCCUCACUUGUAGAGGGUGGCCGAUCGGGGAGCUCUGUGCUUCAAACCGUCUUCGGACAAUGACUGACAACUUGACCUCAAAUCGAGUAGGACUACCCGCUGAACUUAAGCAUAUCAAUAAGCGGAGGAAAAGAAACUAACAAGGAUUCCCC
rnacentral:rRNA from 1 species